UACGAGUGCCUCAAGCGUUAUCCGGAAUCAUUGGGCGUAAAGGUUGUGUAGGUGGUUGUAUUAGUCUCUUGUUAAAUUCUUCGGCUUAACCGGGGGCAUGCAAGGGAAACGGUACGACUCGAGGAUGCGAGGGGUCUGCGGAACUCAUAGUGUAGCGGUGAAAUGCGUUGAUAUUAUGGGGAACACCAAAAGCGAAGGCAGCAGACUGGAGCACUCCUGACACUGAAACAAGAAAGCGUGGGUCGCGAAUGGG
rnacentral:rRNA from 1 species